rnacentral:pre_miRNA from 1 species
UGGACAGAUUAUUGUAUUCGACUGUAUUCACGGCAUGAAACAGGGGAUUGUACUGUUUUUAAACGGAAAGUGAAUCAAUUAACAUAAUAGACUCCU